rnacentral:rRNA from 1 species
AUUGAACGCUGGCGGCAUGCUUUACACAUGCAAGUCGAACGGCAGCGCGGGCUUCGGCCUGGCGGCGAGUGGCGAACGGGUGAGUAAUACAUCGGAACGUGCCCAGUAGUGGGGGAUAGCUCGGUGAAAGCCGGAUUAAUACCGCAUACGACCUGAGGGUGAAAGCGGGGGAUCUUCGGACCUCGCGCUAUUGGAGCGGCCGAUGGCAGAUUAGCUAGUUGGUGGGGUAAAGGCCUACCCAGGCGACGAUCUGUAGCUGGUCUGAGAGGACGACCAGCCACACUGGGAGUGAGACACGGCCGAGACUCCUACGGGAGGCAGCAGUGGGGAAUUUUGGACAAUGGGCGAAAGCCUGAUCCAGCAAUGGCGCGUGUGUGAUGAAGGCCUUCGGGUUGUAAAGCACUUUUGGCGGGAACGAAAAGGACUGUGCCAAUACCACGGUUCGAUGACGGUACCCGCAGAAUAAGCACCGGCUAACUACGUG